rnacentral:sRNA from 1 species
AGUGUAGCUAUAGAAACUGAGCUUGAUAGAGCAACACUUAUUCUGUGUGACACAGGAAUAACCUUUGACUGGGCAAAAGUGCUUCUGGUAUUUUGGAGUGAGAACUUCUGGAGUUCAGAACCUUCUCUGGAUUCUGAAGAAUUCUCUCUUACCCCAAUUCUUCAUCUGCAACUCCAUGGCUCUUUCUAUGGCCUGUCUGUAUCUUUCAUCAUCUUUCUUGAGACUGCUGGAACCUCUCUCAGAACUUCAGAAAAGGAGUCAGGGAUAAAUCUUUUGAUUUACCACAUCCAAAGUGAACUAGGUAGUAGGAGAUCUUGGCUACAUAGGUGACAGGACAGCAGCAUUUCUGGCAUUGAGUAUGGAAUGUCCCCAGAGCAAGGACUUCUUGUCUCUUCCAAGUGAUAUACUAGAUCCCUCCCCUUCCUCUUAGAUAUGCCAUGGGGCUAUGUGGACUGAAAAGUGAUGAACCAGAGAGAGAGCUGGAAAGCAAAAUGAACUCUCUGACACAGCAGGAAGGGAAAUUACCCUGGU